UACGGAGGGUGCAAGCGUUAUCCGGAUUCACUGGGUUUAAAGGGUGCGUAGGUGGGUUGGUAAGUCAGUGGUGAAAUCUCCGUGCUUAACAUGGAAACUGCCAUUGAUACUACUGAUCUUGAAUUUUCAGGAGGUAAGCGGAAUAUGUCAUGUAGCGGUGAAAUGCUUAGAUAUGACAUAGAACACCAAUUGCGAAAGGCAGCUUACUACAGGAAUAUUGACACUGAUGCACGAAAGCGUGGGGGAUCAAACAGG
rnacentral:rRNA from 1 species